CCUACGGGUGGCAGCAGUGAGGAAUAUUGGUCAAUGGACGAGAGUCUGAACCAGCCAAGCAGCGUGAAGGAUGACGGUCCUAUGGGUCGUAAACUUCUUUUAUAUGGGAAUAAAAUGUGCCACGUGUGGCAUUAUGAAUGUACCAUAUGAAUAAGCAUCGGCUAACUCCGUGCCAGCAGCCGCGGUAAUACGGAGGAUCCGAGCGUUAUCCGGAUUUAUUGGGUUUAAAGGGAGCGUAGGCGGGUUGUUAAGUCAGUUGUGAAAGUUUGCGGCUCAACCGUAAAAUUGCAGUUGAAACUGGCAGUCUUGAGUACAGUAGAGGUGGGCGGAAUUCGUGGUGUAGCGGUGAAAUGCUUAGAUAUCACGAAGAACUCCGAUUGCGAAGGCAGCUCGCUGGACUGCAACUGACACUGAGGCUCGAAAGUGUGGGUAUCAAACAGGAUUAGAUACCCCUGUAGUC
rnacentral:rRNA from 1 species